GGACGAACGCUGGCGGCGUGCUUAACACAUGCAAGUCGAACGGAAAGGCCUGCUUUCCCUUGUGGAUUGCGGGUACUCGAGUGGCGAACGGGUGAGUAACACGUGAGUGAUCUGCCCCCAACUUGGGUAUAAGCCUGGGAAACUGGGUCUAAUUCCCGAUAGGACUGCAGGGUGGUGCCUGUGGUGGAAAACGAUUUUCUAGUGGUUGGGGUUGAGCUCGCGGCCUAUCAGCUUGUUGGUGGGGUAAUGGCCUACCAAGGCGGCGACGGGUAGCCGGCCUGAGAGGGUGGACGGCCACAUUGGGACUGAGAUACGGCCCAGACUCCUACGGGAGGCAGCAGUGGGGAAUAUUGCACAAUGGGCGGAAGCCUGAUGCAGCGACGCCGCGUGGGGGAUGACGGCCUUCGGGUUGUAAACUCCUUUCGACCGCGAGGAAGCCACCUGGUUGGAAGGGUGGUGACGGUAGUGGUAGAAGAAGCACCGGCUAACUACGU
rnacentral:rRNA from 1 species